GAAUCUAUAAAGGCCUGAGCUCAACGUUCAACAGAGAGCUUUUGACCUGACUCUGCUGAGAGUGUUGUUAACUACUCCAGGUUUAAUAAUCUUGAAUAAAGCUUUUAUUGUGAAAAUAAUUUUCAGUCUCUGUGCCUUUCCCAUUUAGUGAUUUCCACGACAAUUUGGCGACGAGGAUUGGAUGGCUAACUCCGUUCACUGAUCGUUCCCGAGGACUCCAAGGUUCACUGCGCGCAGGGACCACAACAGUGUGAUUCAGGGGGCUCACACACCGUCUAGGCCGGAGCAGAAGGGACCCGCCUCGGACCUGGCAGGAGCGUCAGUGGAUGGAUACGCCAUCCCCAACAUAAAAACUAUAAAAAGACUGAGUUUCUUCUUACAAUACCUCCAUUGGGGGAAAGGUUCUAAAGACCUUUUAAUAAAACCUGUUCGGGGAAAGGUUUCUAAAACCUGUUUAGGCCUGUGGGGCCCCGCGUGGAACAGGCUGUCCACUAAACAGUUUUUGGGAAACUGUAAUUCAUGGAGGAUGAAUAUAAAAUGCAUGUAUAGACGGGAAUUGCAAUGACAUGACAUAGAUGUAUACAUGAAAGAUAACGAAAAACAAAACAAAAAAAAAUAAUAUUCAAAAACCUAAAAUAAACUACAGAAUAAUAAAAACUUAAAUAAUAAUAAAUAAGUGUGAAAAUAGAGAUGUCUCCCUCAUAAAGUAAAAGUUUUUUUGUGUGUGUUAUCAUUUGUUUUGAGUACAAGUGAUAGGGGAUACCAUGAGGACUCGCAGCAGUAAAAACAAAGCCUGCCUUCCGGAUCCACUGAUCGGGCCAGCAAAGAUAAUGCUCCUGUACCAGCACCGGUCCCUGGCCCCUCUCUAUCUCCAACCCAGGUGCCGCCCUCUACCUGAAGCUGGAAAACCUCACGGUCUCCCCUACAGGGUUUAACCCUCCGUCUGCCUCCACUCCCUCUUCCCACACAGCCAUUUAUUCCUUCUCCUGAACCAGCUCCCAUGACUACCAGGUCUGGACGAUCAGCCGACCCUGACCAGGCAUUCCUUCUGACUCCAUUGGUGGCUUACCCUAACUCACAGCCACGGCCAGCCCAAGGACAAGUUGGCCAUAACGAAUGGAGGCCUGAGGUCAGCAUCCAAAAGACUUGGAGACAGGAUGAACUGAAGGACAUUGCUAAUUAAAUGCCAGAUCCCACCAAGGACUGAGUUUGGGAUACGCAUGAUCAAGUUGGUGCCAUCAGGAGCAGAGAUCACACACAUCAUGCGUUCCAGGAUGAAACUACGCUGGGCAGACAUCCAGGAGGGGCUCAAUGAGAACCUUCUCUGGUCCGCAGAGGGGGCAUACCAAACUCAACUCACUCUUCUCCUGGAGAGAAUAAAGACUGCCUACCCCACAGUGACUGAUUGGGCUGCGAUCCACAGUUGUGUACAGGGUCCUAAAGAAUCCCUGGAAGACUACAGAGACAGGUUGGAGAAGUGUUUCAGGAAAUACAGUGGCCUGACCCUGAGAACUUUAAUAGCCUUAUAAAGGCUGCCCUGGCGCAUGGCCUCCAGCCUGCUUUGAGCAAAACUGUGAAACUCACUUGCAUUGGGUGGGAGACAGUACUUCUACAGACUGUGAUUGAACAUUGUAAACAUGCAGAACGGCAGCAGCAUUGCACUUAUAACAAGGCUAUAUCCAAACAAGGAAAGGAAAUCCCCAAGCUCGAGGCUGCUCAGCUCAUGUAUUAUCAGGGACAAGGUCAGCAAUUCGCAGGAAAUGGGGGAGGAACUGGUGGUUUUCGGAGGAGUGGAAAAUCAUGGUAAAUAUCGUCACUUUUAUAGAGAAUGCCCUGACCCGGAGAGACAAGAAGUUGUGGGUGGCAGAUGGGACCAUCAAACAAUGUCUUCACUGCAGCGCUUGCUCAGAAUUUGGAAGGGUUCGUACCUCCGGCAGGAGGACCACAGUGGGAAGCAGCGGUCAGUGGCGUACUACUCCAAGCAUUUGGAUCUAGUCUCUCGGGCUCUGGUCUGCUGCCUACAGGCAGUUGCCCCAGCUACUGAGGCUGUUCUGGCUUGUGCAGAUAUUGUUGCCAUGUGCCCUUUCACUGUUCAUUGCCUUCAUCAUCGGUAUUGCUGUUUCCGCCAUUAUCUGGACCAUGGAGGCUGGGGGGAACAACAGAGAACCUGGAGGGACCAACAGCAGCAGAAUAGUCCAACAGCAGGACUUAAAUAAUAGGUGGGCUCAAUACUUGAGUCUAGCAAAUAACUGCCGCCCCAGCCGUUACAGGAGGACCGCCGAACUGCAUGAUUGGGCAACAGCCCAUGGGGAACGCCAUCAUGAGAAUGGCUGGUGGUUGCUGAUGAACCACACUAUGAGACGGGUCUUGAGGCACACCAGCCCCUGUUAUGCCUGUGCACUCAUGCCCCAUUUGGCUGGGGGUUCACAACCCUUCUACCCUGAACCACUUGUCACCACUAGUAUGUUACUGGGCCUACAUCCAUGACGUACAACAGACAAAUUGUCUAGAAGAAAUUGCAGGUUGCUCUUGUCUUACAACUACGCAGCCUGGUGUGACAGAAUCAUUAGCACACCCCUUGACUCUAAACCUGACCCGAUUCCCUUGGUGCCACGAAUUACCCCUUUCUCUGCUACCUGUUAUUGCAGAGAAGAUAACAAAGGAACAUUUAUGGGACUAUGGACAGGUACUGAUUCUGCUUAUUAUUACUGUAAGUCUAAAAGCAGUGUAAGCAUGCGCGGUAUGAUGAAUCCUGGUGAAUUUUGUAGGAGUCUGUUCUUCCCUGCGUUUGGUACCCGAUGUUAACCGCAUCUCACAGCUCACACUUCUCCCACUUAAACCCCCCUACUUUGUACACAUCCAGGCCCGCAUAGGUGUGUUGGCCCCAAAUGUCACCGGGGCUGGCGCCUAUACAGACCACUGUUGGGCUUGUGGGGAUAAUGCUUGUGUCUACCUGCCCUGGGGAUGGACUGGGUGUUGUGUUUUUGUUACUUUGAACACCACAAUAAAAAUGUUUCCUAUUUCACAUAAUGUAUACCAUCGGGUCCGCCGAAGUGCAAUAGGCUCCCAUAGUGGUAUUCCAUUAGAUGCCAGGCGCACCAAUAGCUGGGAGAAGUUCUGGCGUGGGUUAAUUCCUUGGUACGGGGCUGUUGAGAAUGCCCAUGAGAUUGAUAGAAUAGGUUAUGAAUUAGAAACGCAUGCUAAUAUCACUACAGAGGGUUUUAUGAUAAUGAGGCCUGAGCUGAGAGGCGUGUUAUGGUGUUGCAAAAUCAUAUGAUCUUAGACAUGAUGUUAGCAGAACAGGGUGGGAUAUGUCAUCUGGUUGGCCAGCACUGUUGUACCUAUAUCCCAGGGGGUGAUCAAAACCUUACAUAGGUUGUUCAGCACUUAGAUUCUCUUCGGCAGCAGUUGACUAGUGAACAGCGGACCAGUGACGAUGGGGUCCAUUUGGCUGGCUGGAAUCAUGUGUGGGUGUAUGGGGCAGCAGGAUUUUUCAUUGGGCCAUUUACGGUUUGGUUGUCUUAGGUGCUAUGUUGUUUGCAGUCAUGUGUGUUAAGAAGAUGUGUGCCAAAGCUGUGGGGGUUGUGUUCAAUAUGCCAUUACUUGCCCGACUUGAUUCUGAUUCUUCUGGUUUUGAUUCAGAUGGUGAUUAUGAAGAGACCAUUAUUAGUUUCCCUAAUAUCUAUCCCGAUGUAGAGUAGCAGGAUGCUAUUUCCUGUGGUUGUUUAUGUUUUUCUUGGCCUUGUUCACAAUUCUCCCACUUACCCUCACUGACACUGACCUAGACAACAGGCACAUGAAUGUUAUGCUUUUGAACAGGGGAUCAAUGUGAAGGACAUGGAUGGCAACUGUAACGGAACCAAGUAAACAUGACUAUUUUUAUAAUCAUUGCUUGCUGAAAUUAUUUUUGUGACUGUAACAUGAAUAAUAAUAAAGUAUUUGUAUCAUUCCUUAGGAUAUGGGAAGAAAGGUUUAUGCAUUAUUAAAAGUUUGUUUUGCAUCUUAUCAAUAAUAAUUUAGUGAUGAUUAAUGGUAGGAGAUUUAUUUUUUGGAUAAUAAUCUGUUGCUUUUGCUGGAAUGUAUGAUGUACUUUCUACUGAUUUGUUUUUCAUUGAGACAGUCUCAAAAGGAGGGAUUGUGGUAGAAAUGUUCUCAUUCUAUAGUAAAUUAAUAUUCAUAUUGCUUAUUCUAAGUACAAUCCAAUCAUUUAGUAAGGCCAUUAUGUGUUUUUCGACUCUGCUCACUUGUACAGGAUGUGCCUACAACUAUAGACAGCUAUAGUUCUGGUUAAACAGGUUUCUAAAUCUUGAAUAAACCUGUGAAAAGAAGCUACAGUCUCUGUGCCUUUCCCGUUUAGUGAUUUCCAUGACAGCACCCUGGUUGGACCGGUCGCCGUGGCCGGUGACGAUCCGGCAGCAGACACGCUUCUACGGUGCACUUCGGGGUUGGUCAGCUGGUAAUACAAAGUGGAACAUGAACCCCCCCGCAAACAUAUAACCACUUGACCAGACAGAAAUGAGCUUAGUGCACUCCCAGAACCCCCUCUCUUAUCUUACAUAUGACCUCCCCACUUGCUGCCGGUCUUCGUCGCUAAACAACAACGAGCGACACCCUCCCCCCCGUUAAGACGAGUGCAAUGGGCGGAGCCCCUGGUCAAUGCAAUCGCGUAACUGUUUGAAUGCCCUUGUUUCACACGGGUUCCCAUUCUCCCUGUCGUGCUCCUGGUUCUCUGCUUAUAUAGUCCUCGAGUCCCAAACAGAGCCCCUCAAUUAUCCCCAGGUCUUAUCUCAUCUCAUCUUCAUCCGGUGUUAGGUCGCUGGGG